rnacentral:rRNA from 1 species
GAUGAACGCUGGCGGCAUGCCUAACACAUGCAAGUCGAACGGCAAGACAGUAAGCGCGUGCCCUUACGGGUGGCGAGUGGCGGGCGGGUGAGGCGUGCAUCGGAAUCUACUUUUUCGUGGGGGAUAACGUAGGGAAACUUACGCUAAUACCGCAUACGAUCUACGGGUGAAAGCAGGGGAUCUUCGGACCUUGCGCGAUUGAAUGAGCCGAUGUCGGAUUAGCUAGUUGGCGGGGUAAAGGCCCACCAAGGCGACGAUCCGUAGCUGGUCUGAGAGGAUGAUCAGCCACACUGGAACUGAGACACGGUCCAGACUCCUACGGGAGGCAGCAGUGGGGAAUAUUGGACAAUGGGCGCAAGCCUGAUCCAGCCAUACCGCGUGGGUGAAGAAGGCCUUCGGGUUGUAAAGCCCUUUUGUUGGGAAAGAACAGCUGCAGGUUAAUACGCCGCUGUUCUGACGGUACCCAAAGAAUAAGCACCGGCUAACUACGUG